rnacentral:lncRNA from 13 species
UUUUGCUGCGUUAGAAGGCAUGAACGGCAUACAAAAGUUCCAAAUUCACAGAGAAGACAAGUUGACAGACAGGCUUUCAUUUGCACAUAUUUGUUUCAAUCAACUGGAUUUGCCAGUGUACGAGACGUAUGAUAAACUCUGAACAAAUCUACUCAAGGCGACUUACGAAUGCACCAAAGAAUUUGGAUUUGCAUAAGCUUACCAGAAUUUGCUCCUGUACAAUUUCGAUUUCAUGCGUUCAAUCGAUGAUAUUCUAGAGACCAAACUUAUGGUUGGAUCUUUACAGCCAGUGAUAACAUUCCGGACGUGCAAUGGCCUAUUGCUUGCAAAAUUUUUAACGUACUUACAAAAAUUGUUAUACGCAAUGCUAUAUGUAAAACUAUCUUGUGAACGUAGCGAAUCACAGUGCUCUAAUUGCUAUAAUAUGUAUUAUUACACUUAUACGACUUUAUAAAUACGAAAUAUAUAUUUUCAUUUUAUCAUA